CCAGUGGUGGUUCAGGGGUACAAUUCUCGCCUUCCAUGCAGAAAGCCUGGGUUCAAUUCCCAGCCAGUGCA
rnacentral:tRNA from 1 species